GCAGGGCUUCACUAUUUCCUGCUGGACUUCUGGGGUCGAGAGGGUAUGACUCCACCAGUGUAUUUCCCUUUCCCUAAUACUUCUGAGUCUCUCCACUUCUUACUCGAGCUCUGCCACUAAGCACAGCAAAUCAUUUACUCGCAUCGUAUGCAGGCGUCUCUCGCGCUGUCCUCUGGUACCGACGCCAGGCUCAGACACUCUGGGCAGCCAGAGACCUGCACGGCUGCGUCCUUCCUGGGGGUUCUGCCUGGGUUAGCACACUCCCCCUGAGAGCAGCAGCAACGGCUCUCGCUCCUUUGGAAACCAUUGCUGGGUCGAGUCAUAAGGCUGCUGAUUGUGAGAUGGAACAUAUUCUAGUGUAACAUUUGCAAAUGUAAUAGCUGUUGUCUCAAAACCACGGACAAAUUAGAUGGGGAGACUGGAAUCUCAGAUGUGUUCAAAAGCAAUGUAACUGAAUAUGAAGCAACACACUAAGCAACAUCCAAGACUAAUGUCUACUACAGUGAACCAAGUAUUUGUGCUCAUUUCUAGUUCUAAACAGAUUUCAACCAUGCAAGAAAAGGACCUGCAUGCCACUGCUGACAUUUCAGUCGAAAUGUUUGUUCAAGAAACUCAUUUGUAUUGAAAGCAAAUAAAUAAAACUUGAUUGAAUA